GCAGUGGUGGUUCAGUGGUAGAAUUCUCACCUUCCAUGCCAAAGACCCGGGUUUGAUUCCCAGCCAAUGCA
rfam:Loxodonta africana unplaced genomic scaffold scaffold_38, whole genome shotgun sequence.